UGGGGAAUAUUGCACAAUGGGGGAAACCCUGAUGCAGCGACGCCGCGUGAGUGAGGAAGUAUUUCGGUAUGUAAAACUCUAUCAGCAGGGAAGAUAAUGACGGUACCUGACUAAGAAGCACCGGCUAAAUACGUGCCAGCAGCCGCGGUAAUACGUAUGGUGCAAGCGUUAUCCGGAUUUACUGGGUGUAAAGGGUGCGUAGGUGGUAUGGCAAGUCAGAAGUGAAAGGCUGGGGCUUAACCCCGGGACUGCUUUUGAAACUGUCAAACUAGAGUACAGGAGAGGAAAGCGGAAUUCCUAGUGUAGCGGUGAAAUGCGUAGAUAUUAGGAGGAACACCAGCGGCGAAGGCGGCUUUCUGGACUGAAACUGACACUGAGGCACGAAAGCGUGGGGAGCAAACAGGAUUAGAUACCCUGGU
rnacentral:rRNA from 1 species